rnacentral:rRNA from 1 species
UACGUAGGGUGCGAGCGUUGUCCGGAAUUAUUGGGCGUAAAGGGCUCGUAGGCGGUUUGUCGCGUCGGGAGUGAAAUCCACUGGCUUAACUGGUGGCUUGCUUUCGAUACGGGCAGACUGGAGGUAUGCAGGGGAGAACGGAAUUCCUGGUGUAGCGGUGAAAUGCGCAGAUAUCAGGAGGAACACCGGUGGCGAAGGCGGUGAUCUGGGCCGAUACUGACGCUGUAGAGCGAAAGCGUGGGGAGCGAACAGG